GACGAACGCUGGCGGCGUGCUUAACACAUGCAAGUCGAACGGAAAGGCCCUGCUUUUGUGGGGUGCUCGAGUGGCGAACGGGUGAGUAACACGUGAGUAACCUGCCCUUGACUUUGGGAUAACUUCAGGAAACUGGGGCUAAUACCGGAUAGGAGCUCCUGCUGCAUGGUGGGGGUUGGAAAGUUUCGGCGGUUGGGGAUGGACUCGCGGCUUAUCAGCUUGUUGGUGGGGUAGUGGCUUACCAAGGCUUUGACGGGUAGCCGGCCGGAGAGGGUGACCGGCCACAGGGGGAUGGAGAACGGGCCAAGACCCCGCGGGGGGGAGGAGGGGGGGAAUUGUGAAAAAGGGGGGGAGGCCGGAGGCAGCAACGCGGGGGGGGGGAUGACGGCCUGGGGGUUGAAAACCGCUUUCGCCUGUGACGAAGGGGGGGGGAGGGUAAGGGAAAAAGAAGCCCCGGCAAAUUACGUG
rnacentral:rRNA from 1 species